rnacentral:tRNA from 1 species
GCCAGUGUGGCUCAGUGGAUAGAGCGUCGGCCUAUGGACUGAAGGGUCCCAGGUUCGAUUCCUGUCAAGAGCA